UCUGAUGACUUGGAGUCUGAGCUGUAUAAAGAGAGGCUGUGACAGAGUAGCAGAGGAACACAAGGUCUCAUCUGAUGACAUGGAGUCUGAGCUGUAUAAAGAGAGGAUGUGACAGAGUAGCAGAGGAACACAAGGUCUCAUCUGAUGACAUGGAGUCUGAGCUGUAUAAAGAGAGGAUGUGACAGAGUAGCAGAGGAACACAAGGUCUCAUCUGAUGACAUGGAGUCUGAGCUGUAUAAAGAGAGGAUGUGACAGAGUAGCAGAGGAACACAAGGUCUCAUCUGAUGACUUGGAGUCUGAGCUGUAUAAAGAGAGGAUGUGACAGAGUAGCAGAGGAACACAAGGUCUCAUCUGAUGACAUGGAGUCUGAGCUGUAUAAAGAGAGGAUGUGACAGAGUAGCAGAGGAACACAAGGUCUCAUCUGAUGACAUGGAGUCUGAGCUGUAUAAAGAGAGGAUGUGACAGAGUAGCAGAGGAACACAAGGUCUCAUCUGAUGACUUGGAGUCUGAGCUGUAUAAAGAGAGGAUGUGGCAGAGUAGCAGAGGAACACAAGGUCUCAUCUGAUGACAUGGAGUCUGAGCUGUAUAAAGAGAGGAUGUGGCAGAGUAGCAGAGGAACACAAGGUCUCAUCUGAUGACUUGGAGUCUGAGCUGUAUAAAGAGAGGAUGUGACAGAGUAGCAGAGGACCACAAGGUCUCAUCUGAUGACUUGGAGUCUGAGCUGUAUAAAGAGAGGAUGUGACAGAGUAGCAGAGGAACACAAGGUCUCAUCUGAUGACAUGGAGUCUGAGCUGUAUAAAGAGAGGAUGUGACAGAGUAGCAGAGGAACACAAGGUCUCAUCUGAUGACUUGGAGUCUGAGCUGUAUAAAGAGAGGAUGUGACAGAGUAGCAGAGGAACACAAGGUCUCAUCUGAUGACAUGGAGUCUGAGCUGUAUAAAGAGAGGCUGUGACAGAGUAGCAGAGGAACACAAGGUCUCAUCUGAUGACUUGGAGUCUGAGCUGUAUAAAGAGAGGAUGUGACAGAGUAGCAGAGGAACACAAGGUCUCAUCUGAUGACAUGGAGUCUGAGCUGUAUAAAGAGAGGAUGUGACAGAGUAGCAGAGGAACACAAGGUCUCAUCUGAUGACUUGGAGUCUGAGCUGUAUAAAGAGAGGAUGUGACAGAGUAGCAGAGGAACACAAGGUCUCAUCUGAUGACAUGGAGUCUGAGCUGUAUAAAGAGAGGAUGUGACAGAGUAGCAGAGGAACACAAGGUCUCAUCUGAUGACUUGGAGUCUGAGCUGUAUAAAGAGAGGAUGUGACAGAGUAGCAGAGGAACACAAGGUCUCAUCUGAUGACAUGGAGUCUGAGCUGUAUAAAGAGAGGAUGUGACAGAGUAGCAGAGGAACACAAGGUCUCAUCUGAUGACUUGGAGUCUGAGCUGUAUAAAGAGAGGAUGUGACAGAGUAGCAGAGGAACACAAGGUCUCAUCUGAUGACAUGGAGUCUGAGCUGUAUAAAGAGAGGAUGUGACAGAGUAGCAGAGGAACACAAGGUCUCAUCUGAUGACUUGGAGUCUGAGCUGUAUAAAGAGAGGAUGUGACAGAGUAGCAGAGGAACACAAGGUCUCAUCUGAUGACUUGGAGUCUGAGCUGUAUAAAGAGAGGAUGUGACAGAGUAGCAGAGGAACACAAGGUCUCAUCUGAUGACUUGGAGUCUGAGCUGUAUAAAGAGAGGAUGUGGCAGAGUAGCAGAGGAACACAAGGUCUCAUCUGAUGACUUGGAGUCUGAGCUGUAUAAAGAGAGGAUGUGACAGAGUAGCAGAGGAACACAAGGUCUCAUCUGAUGACUUGGAGUCUGAGCUGUAUAAAGAGAGGAUGUGACAGAGUAGCAGAGGAACACAAGGUCUCAUCUGAUGACUUGGAGUCUGAGCUGUAUAAAGAGAGGAUGUGGCAGAGUAGCAGAGGAACACAAGGUCUCAUCUGAUGACUUGGAGUCUGAGCUGUAUAAAGAGAGGAUGUGGCAGAGUAGCAGAGGAACACAAGGUCUCAUCUGAUGACUUGGAGUCUGAGCUGUAUAAAGAGAGGAUGUGACAGAGUAGCAGAGGAACACAAGGUCUCAUCU